GGUUCCGUAGCUCAGUCGGUUAGAGCGCCGUGCUAAUAUAGGAGAUUAUCCACUGUUAACGCGGAUGUCGCGAGUUCGACCCUCGUCGGAACCA
rfam:Aspergillus terreus NIH2624 scaffold_10 genomic scaffold, whole genome shotgun sequence.